UUUGGAAAGAGGCCUGGGCCACAGUGACCACUUCUGUCCCUGUGGCUCAAGCCACUGCUUCAGGCCCGGGGUGGGAGAGUGUCCAGGAAGCGUGUGGCCCGCCUUCGGCUGUCGGGAGACCAGGCAGUGGCUCCUGGGCUCAUGCAGAGGCUCAUCCGGGGUUGGUGCCCAGCACGACCAGGGACCCGGAGCCUCCUCGCCAUGGCUGCUAAGUGUGGGCAGGUCCUGACCUCCGUCCUGCCUGCCCUCCUGCUGGGACUCACAGCCGGGCGGCCCUUCAUCUCUCUGACGGGCCCAUCUCGGAGGACGACCCCGGGAAACCCAGUGCCUUUCAACUGUACGGCCGGCCCCUUCAGCUCCUGGGAUUUCAAUGUCACCUGGAUGAAGGGCAGCGAUGAGCAUCCAGCCUCAGCCCAGCACCUGGUGACCAACAACCAAGGCAACUACUUCGUUACCAGUAAGGUGUGGGUGACACUGACCCUCCAGGAUCUCUUACUGGAGAUCACCUGCGAAGUCACCCACAGGGCGCUGGGAGAACCUCUGCGAAAGACCAUGAACCUCUCCCAAGUGCUCCAAGUUGUCCCCACCCUGAAGAUCACCACCAAGACCUCCGGGACGUACAUCCACAUGCAACAGAGAGUGAAUCUCACCUGCCACGCGAGCCACUUCUACCCCUCCCACCUACGUCUCACCUGGAUGGAAAACAGACACCAGGUCCACACGGUGGAGUCCCCACAGGUCACAAGAAACCCAGAUGGCACCUACUCUCUGAAGCACACGUGGCAGGCGGAGGCCACACUGGACGGGAGCGAGUUUGCUUGCUGGGUGGUCCAGGAUGAGCAGCCACCCGUCCGGGCCAACAUCACCCUGCGGGCCCAGGCACCCAGGCUGGGGAAAGGCCGGAGCACCUAUUCCUACUCCUUGCAAGGCCCCCUUCAGCGAUCUGAGCCGGGGAAGAGCAUCCAGCUGACCUACGUGUCCUCCGGAUUCCCGUCGCGCCACAUUACCGUGACCUGGUUUAAAAAGAACCACGAGCUCCCAAAGACGCAGACCUACGUCCACCCCAGUGGGGACACACACAAUGUGACCAGCCGAGUGCUCGUCCCGCUGCAAGCGGACGAUGUGCUCUCCUUCGUCCAAUGCCACGUCAGUCAUAAAUCCACACUGGUCUUCCAGAAAGCCAUCAGCCUGGACCAGUACCUCCGUGUUCCCCCUACAGUGACAGUGUCCCAGUCUUCACGCUCCUUGGACUUGGUGGCUGUCACCUGCCGCGUGCAGAGAUUCUAUCCACAGAGUGUGCAUCUCACCUGGACGGAGAACUGCCAUACGAUCAAGGGAGCUGAGCAGCUCAAAUCCAAGCAGAAUAGCGAUGGGACCUACACCCUGGAAAGCUUGCAUUUGGUGAACAUGUCAGGGCCGGGGUCCGAACAGGUGCUCACCUGUAAGGUGCAGCACGAGACCCAACCUCCCAUCCAGGCCAGCCUCAUACUGUCUGCGGAAGCACACGGCACAUACAAGCCCAUCGGAAGCUCAGGUCCCAAGAUGCCUGCGCUCAUCUUUGUGGCAUUCCUUCUGGGCUUCAAGGUGCUGCUGGCGAUGAGUUUCAUAGUCACCUACAUCUGCAGGUGGCGGAGCCGGUAACAGGCUGAAACGUCAGAGAGAAGUAAUUGCCAUCCGGACCUGACGGUCCACAAGCAUAAAGCAUUUACUGUCCGGCCAUCUAAGACAAAGCUCGCCAACGCCUGAGAGACAAUAUUUAAAGACAAACAAUCCCAUUUUAUAAGUGCAUGAAAGAUUUGACGAGCCGCUCCGCCAAAGAACAA